AAGAAAGAAAGAAAGAAAGAAAAGGAUUUGCAGCUUCUUAGUUGCUGGCAAUAGGAAGGUAUUUUCAUGCUGUCUGUCAAGUAUUUGAGGCUCUGCCUUAGCUUUCUGUAAUAAUGAGUAUAAUAAAAACAAAUUGGUUGUGGGCUUUGCAAGAUAUCAGGUGAGGGAAGCACUCAGACAGGCUCAGCUGCAGAAAGAGAGCAAUAUGGGCUGAUGCAGUCUGAGAGAGAAAAGACUACAGGAAAAAAAAGUGAGAGUUAACCAGAAACCCUGAGGGCUUGGGAGGAAAAGAGCCUGUGAGUGAGAGGAAGACAUCUUUUGAUGGAGCACAGCCAAGCACAGUGCCCAUCGGCAACGGUGACCCCAGUGAAGUGGUGAGCAAGCUCUCAGAUCUGGGGAUCUGGAAAGGACUCUGGCCUUUUUCGCUACUCUGAGAAGUUAUGUGGCUAGAAUGUGUUUGCCAUUGGAAUUGGAGCUGUUGGAUGGAGAAUGUCACCAGUAAGAGAGGGGAGCAGCCUUGGGCUGGACAGUUUUCAGACUGGAUUAAAAGAGAGCUCCUCCCUCAGCAGUUACACUUGUUUCAAUCAUACCCUGUUUGUCUUCAAAGGCAGCUGGGAUUAGGAGCCUAACACAUGCAAAGAGAGGUCCGGGAUAAGAAAUGGGCAAUGAAAAACAGCCACGGACAUUCAUGAAGAGUAAGUCAGCCUUCAGCCCCAGAUGUGUUCAUCUUGCCUUACAAAUAUUAAACGUAAUCCAGUAUCAGCUGUUGCACAGGGCUGGGGUAGGUUUGCCCCCAGAGAAUGAGCACAGGCAGAAACAUUAGCAGAACAAACUGAUAUCUGCAGCACAUUCCUGGAUGUGUUAAUAAAAGAGCUGCAGGGUAAAGCUCAGAGGAGACUAAUAAGUACAUAAAAAAAUACAUUUUAGUACUGCUGUGAGACAUAUUUAAGCAUUAGGCAGUCUAAGCAGUGAGAACAUUAAGUAACAGUAAGUUUGGCUAUAGUGAAUAAAGAAAAAAUAAAUUAUGCUUUGAUAGCAGCAAAGCCAUCCAUGAGUAUGAUAUGAUAUCAAGAUCAAGCCUUCAAAUUAAGAUGAGUGGGAAAGAUAAUAACAUUGUCUUAGAGGGGAAAAAAAUGGGCAUAAGAUUGUUAAAUAAGAUAAAGCCACCCGUUUUUCUAUACUUCUAUACUAAAUCACUGUGAAUCACCAAUGAAUUUGUCUGCAUGUGGAGUUGUACCAGCAAAGGUAAUCACUAAGGGAAAGAAUCUGAUUAUUCUACGUUAUUCUGGAGCUAUACAGAAAUUCGUAAGAUUAUUUUGACAGUGGAGAAAAAUACACAAUAAAAUGAUAAAAACACUGAAAGCCAAAGAGUGAGGUUGCUAUGCUCAAUAACAGUCCACAUUUAAUUGUUUUCAGAUGCUUAAUAAUGAUUCCAUUAAAACAAAACCAAACUAUGCUAAAAGAGCAGAAGGGGAUGGAAAGCAACUCUCUAGAAACCAUAGGAUCAUGGAGUCACAGAACCGCUUAUUUGGAAGGGACCUCAAGCAUCAUCAAGUUCCAACUCCCUUGCCGCAG